AUACGAAGGGGGCAAGCGUUGUUCGGAAUAACUGGGCGUAAAGCGCACGUAGGCGGAUUGAUCAGUUAGAGGUGAAAUCCCAGGGCUCAACCCUGGAACUGCCUUUAAUACUGUCAGUCUAGAGAUCGAGAGAGGUGAGUGGAAUUCCGAGUGUAGAGGUGAAAUUCGUAGAUAUUCGGAGGAACACCAGUGGCGAAGGCGGCUCACUGGCUCGAUACUGACGCUGAGGUGCGAAAGCGUGGGGAGCAAACAGGAUUAGAUACCCCGGUAGUCC
rnacentral:rRNA from 1 species